AUUGAACGCUGGCGGCGUGCCUAACACAUGCAAGUCGAGCGGUAACAGGUGUAGCAAUACAUGCUGACGAGCGGCGGACGGGUGAGUAACGCUUGGGAAUCUGCCUGUUAGUGGGGGACAACCCGGGGAAACUCGGGCUAAUACCGCAUACGCACUACGGUGGAAAGCCGGGGACCGCAAGGCCUGGCGCUAACAGAUGAGCCCAAGUCGGAUUAGCUAGUUGGUAGGGUAACGGCCUACCAAGGCGACGAUCCGUAACUGGUCUGAGAGGACGACCAGUCACACCGGAACUGAGACACGGUCCGGACUCCUACGGGAGGCAGCAGGUGGGGAAUAUUGGACAAUGGGCGAAAGCCUGAAUCCAGCGACGCCGCGUGGGUGAAGAAGGCCUGC
rnacentral:rRNA from 1 species